UCAUCAUGUGUGAUCGGUCAGUCUUUGUUUUGUAUUGUCUUUCCCUGUAGGACUGAUGCCCAGCCACAGCCACCCAACCCGCAGUUCUUAUACUUAUGGACUCAUUUCGACAAUGCUGGGUACUCCCCUCCUCUGCUUACACCAUUCCAGGACACCAUGCUGAGGUUUCAGCAGUGAAAAUAGUGGGGCAAGCUGACACCUACCCGGCUCUGCCGCCUACCAGGGCUGGGGGCCUCUUGACCAGCCAAUGGAUAGACACCCUGCUCCAAAUGUGCACGUCAGAGCUUGCGAUCCAGACCCUGCCCAGACAAACUCCACACAUCCCGUGACCCAGGAAGGAGACUCUCAGAUGAUAUGAGAAGGGGGAAAGCUCACUGUAGAGUGCUGCCCAAUCCACAUGCGUGAGAGAGGGAAGGAAGCAGAACUGGCAAAGGGAGAUGUUGACCCAAGACAGCAGAACAAGACUCAGCCUCGGAAAGAGAGCUGGCGAACUGAAUGUUCUCUGUGAGCUGUUUUACAUGGAGCGGAUUGGCUAAGCCUUUGUACCCCCACUUCCUCCAGCCCUCUGCCCCAGGCUGUCUUCUAGAAGCAGGUGCAAAGGUGGGCAGUGCAGCUCUUUCCACUGAGAGAAAGUCCAGGGGCCCACCCAGCUGAGACCGCAAAUCUUCCAACACUCCAGGAGCAAACCUGACCCAAGGCUGUCUACUCCACUGCUGGUGGCUGUCACCCUGGGCCCAAAGCUGCUGCUGCUCAUCGCUGUCUCUGCCAUCUAUGCCCACAGGAAGUGAGCGCCUGACUGUGUCCCUGGAGGAAAAUAGCACUGAGGACAUAGGAGACACAUGGGGAACAUUUCUGGAAUGAAGAGCAGAUAAUUGACUGUGAACAUGGAACCCACAGCUCCUUCCUUCCUCCCCUGCUACAUGACACCUUCAGUCUCUGCUGCCUGCUUCCUUCGCUUAGGGGCCCAACCUAAGAGAAGGAACAACUAGAAGCAUCCACAAUUCUGCCCCAAAUGCCUUGUGGCCCCCAGAGACCCACCUGCCCACAGUUUCUGCUGCUCCUUCUCAGGGUCCUUGAUGCCCCCAGAGCUGGGUCUUCAUACAUGGUCCUCAGCAGGGGCCAUGGGAACUUGCUCUGGGGACUGACACAUGAAUAUCUGCCUGGAAUGUUAGAAACAAGUCACAUCUACACAUCCCAGGUAUCUCUCAUCUGUCUCCUGGGGACCGUGGCCAUGAACUACACUCUCAUGUCCACGUUCUCAGGAGUUAUUCCUACCAAGCCCCACCCUCCCCAGCCUUGGUGAGAUUCUCCAUUGGGUCUUAAGUACAAAUGAAUCCCAUCCUGGUUUGCAGAAGGGAAAUGAUUCUCCUUCCUCUUUGCCUACAUGUCGUACUCCUCAAUCCCAGAGACAAGAUUCCCUCCUCCCUGUGAUGGGAACACUCGCUCUUCCAUCACCUUCAUCCUUCUUGACCCCACUGCUCAUGUACUCAAGCUGGCAGUCCAGAAGCCUGGAGCCAGACUUGAUUUUCUUACUUUAUAUCCCACAUUCAAUUCUGCCUUCAGAAUGCUGUGUCCUGUGUUGGGAUGGUAAAUGUGCAACAGUCCACUCACAGAGAGGAAAAGAAGCCUGCCUUGUAUUCCAUAAAUGAGUGAAACCAUAUGAU